rnacentral:misc_RNA from 1 species
UGUCCAAAAUGGGUUGGAAAGAAGGUGAGGGACUGGGGAGCUCGAGAAACGGUAUUGCAGACCCCAUCAUGGCUGGUAAUGUAAAGAAGGACAACUUGGGUGUUGGUGCUCAACGUCCUGGAGAGGUGACUGCCGACGAUGAUAUAUAUGAGCAGUAUAAGAAGCGUAUGAUGCUUGGUUACCGCUACAGACCAAAUCCUUUGAACAACCCUCGAAAAGCA